rnacentral:lncRNA from 1 species
UUAGUUUUUAUUAAUGUUUGUACUUACUUGUUAGAUGUUUUAUGAUUAUGUUUUCGUUUCUUGUUAUGAACUAUUGUCCAACAUGGAAAAUAAACGUUCUACCAAAUAUUAUUGUUUUUUUACCUGUUACUAACGACUACACAAGGGGUUCAGCAAUUUCUUUUGGAUUUUUCAAGAGGUUCACAAGGAGAAAAAGAUUGGGAACCCCUGAACUAAACCAUUCUACAUUUAAUUACAAGCCUAGAGAAUUUUCCAGUAUACCUAACUAUAAUUCAAGUGAUCCAAUUUUCCCAUUCCAUGUUAUAUAUGUAUUAUCCAUCAGUGAUUAGUUGAGCCUCCCAUGGAUCAUGGAUCUCCAUCUUUUCUGUCUCUAGCCAUCCAAACUAUCUCUUCAAAUAUGUAUGGUCUUGAGUAUUUUUUAUAUUUGUUAUCCCUCUGGUUCUUGCUCAUCUACAUUGCCUUUUUUGUUCUUGAUUUUACCUUCCAACAUGAUUUUUCAGAAUUUGUAUAUGGUAUCCAUUCUACAUGUCCAUAUCAUUAUA